AUUGAACGCUGGCGGCAUGCUUUACACAUGCAAGUCGAACGGCAGCACGGGCUUCGGCCUGGUGGCGAGUGGCGAACGGGUGAGUAAUGCAUCGGAACGUGCCCAUGUUGUGGGGGAUAACUACGCGAAAGCGUGGCUAAUACCGCAUACGCCCUGAGGGGGAAAGCGGGGGAUUCUUCGGAACCUCGCGCAAUUGGAGCGGCCGAUGUCAGAUUAGCUUGUUGGUGAGGUAAAGGCUCACCAAGGCGACGAUCUGUAGCGGGUCUGAGAGGAUGAUCCGCCACACUGGGACUGAGACACGGCCCAGACUCCUACGGGAGGCAGCAGUGGGGAAUUUUGGACAAUGGGGGCAACCCUGAUCCAGCCAUGCCGCGUGAGUGAAGAAGGCCU
rnacentral:rRNA from 1 species